rnacentral:lncRNA from 1 species
GUUAGACACACAGCUCCUUAAAGGGAAGCCUGCUCUACUGCUCCAGCAGAUCUCGAUGAGCAGAGACAGGCCAUGGUUUGGGAGCUUUAUUGGAGAGAGAAAGAGAGAGAGAGACAGAGAGAGAGAGAGAGAGAGAGAGAGAGAGAGAGAGAGAGAGAGACAGAGAGAGAGAGAGAGAGAGAGACAGAGACAGAGAGACAGACAGAGAGACAGACAGAGACAGACAGAGAGGAGAGAGAGACAGAGAGAGAGACAGAGAGAGGAAGAAGAAGAAGAAGAAGAAGAAGAAGAAGAAGAAGAAGAAGAAGAAGAAGAAGAAGAAGAAGAAGAGGGGGAGGAGGAGGAGGAGGAGGGAAGAGAAGAGAAGAAAAGAGAAGAGAAGAGGAGAAGAGAAGAGAAGAGAAGAGAAGAGAAGAGAAGAGAAGAGAAGAGAAGAGAAGAGAAGAGAAGAGAAGAGAAGAGGCUGGCCAUGUGGAGAGAGAGGAGAAGAGAGGGAGAAAAGGAGAACGAGAGAGAGAAGCUUGUUAAAAGACAGGAUGCUGAAAGAGGAGAUGAAACAUUUCAACCUGAAGGGAAGUGCUUUAAGAUGCAGGAUGUAAAACAAUGAAAUGCUGGAAGAAGAGCUCAAACACUCCAUUCUUUAAAAAGGCUUCUUAAACUCAGGAAAUAAACAACUGAAUAACUUCAGAAAGUCCCUGAAACUGGCAAGAUUCUCUGCUGCCAUCCUUCUCCAAGCAUUUAUAAUCGUUGUGUAAUCUGAGAGCUAAGGCUCUAGCUGCAUUCAUCCCAAUAUGAAUAUACAAAUUUCUAUGUGUCAUUUGUUAAAGGGGCUGUCCUUUCUGCAAUGUGUAUUUUUGGCAAUUUUCUUUGAAGUAAAAUGACUUUAGCUUAUUGGGCUUAUAUCUGUAUAUUCUAGUCUGUUCCUUUUAGAUUGAUUUGUCUGUUUUUGUGCCAGUUCCAUGCUGUUUUGUUUUGAUGGCUUAGUAAUAUAAGGUGAAUCAGAGAUGGUGAUGUUACCAACAUUAUUCAUUUUGCUCAGGCUUGCU